UAAUCAGCUUUGAUGAAGAGUAGUAGCUAUUAUAAUUUGUUAUAGAGAGCUAGCGGUUGGUGAGAGCUAGUACAAAUGAAUGGUGAAUGGACUUCGGAGCUCUAAUCCUGAAAAUAGUAUGGAUUAGCGUUUGCCUACGUUACAGGGCUUAGAGUGGGUCUUAAUAAGACCAAUGAAGGUGGCACCACGGCUUUUCCGUCCUUUUG
rnacentral:ncRNA from 1 species